AACACCAUGCGUCUUACUGAAGUCAGAAGCUGAGAAGAGCAUACUUCAUCCAUGUGCUCCUGAGAAAAAUCCUACCUGGAUGUCUCCUUGUAUAUCUGCUAUCUUUGAAAAUGUGCUGGAAGUUACCAGAAAAAGGGAUGGAUGCCUACAGAAUUACUGAGUUAAAGGCAUGACUUUUUGAUGAAAAACUGUGCCAGUUUAUAUUACUGGCCCUUUUUGAGUGCUGUAAAAAAAUCAGAUACCCUCUCUGACCAUGUAUACUCAUCUACAAAUGGAAAUAAAAACAAUUCACAGGA